rnacentral:rRNA from 1 species
AGAGUUUGAUCAUGGCUCAGGACGAACGCUGGCGGCGCGCCUAACACAUGCAAGUAGAACGAGCGAGAGAGAGCUUGCUUUCUCGAGCGAGUGGCGAACGGGUGAGUAACGCGUGAGGAACCUGCCUCAAAGAGGGGGACAACAGUUGGAAACGACUGCUAAUACCGCAUAAGCCCACGGCUCGGCAUCGAGCAGAGGGAAAAGGAGCAAUCCGCUUUGAGAUGGCCUCGCGUCCGAUUAGCUAGUUGGUGAGGUAAUGGCCCACCAAGGCGACGAUCGGUAGCCGGACUGAGAGGUUGAACGGCCACAUUGGGACUGAGACACGGCCCAGACUCCUACGGGAGGCAGCAGUGGGGAAUAUUGCACAAUGGGGGAAACCCUGAUGCAGCGACGCCGCGUGGAGGAAGAAGGUCUUCGGAUUGUAAACUCCUGUUGUUGAGGAAGAUAAUGACGGUACUCAACAAGGAAGUGACGGCUAACUACGUGCCAGCAGCCGCGGUAAAACGUAGGUCACAAGCGUUGUCCGGAAUUACUGGGUGUAAAGGGAGCGCAGGCGGGAAGACAAGUUGGAAGUGAAAUCCAUGGGCUCAACCCAUGAACUGCUUUCAAAACUGUUUUUCUUGAGUAGUGCAGAGGUAGGCGGAAUUCCCGGUGUAGCGGUGGAAUGCGUAGAUAUCGGGAGGAACACCAGUGGCGAAGGCGGCCUACUGGGCACCAACUGACGCUGAGGCUCGAAAGUGUGGGUAGCAAACAGGAUUAGAUACCCUGGUAGUCCACACUGUAAACGAUGAUUACUAGGUGUUGGAGGAUUGACCCCUUCAGCGCCGCAGUUAACACAAUAAGUAAUCCACCUGGGGAGUACGACCGCAAGGUUGAAACUCAAAGGAAUUGACGGGGGCCCGCACAAGCAGUGGAGUAUGUGGUUUAAUUCGACGCAACGCGAAGAACCUUACCAAGUCUUGACAUCCUGCGACGCACAUAGAAAUAUGUGUUUCCUUCGGGACGCAGAGACAGGUGGUGCAUGGUUGUCGUCAGCUCGUGUCGUGAGAUGUUGGGUUAAGUCCCGCAACGAGCGCAACCCUUAUGGUCAGUUACUACGCAAGAGGACUCUGGCCAGACUGCCGUUGACAAAACGGAGGAAGGUGGGGAUGACGUCAAAUCAUCAUGCCCUUUAUGACUUGGGCUACACACGUACUACAAUGGCGUUAAACAAAGAGAAGCAAGACCGCGAGGUGGAGCAAAACUCAGAA